CUGAGGCGCAUUUAAGAGCAGUCGGAUCCGGAAAUCCCUCCUCUUGCCUCGGAGACACAACCAUGAGCAGAGAGGGAGAGAGAGAGCAGCCUCAUCACAUCUGAGCAUUAAGAAGACUGCAUCAUGUUUAAUCUUCAUCACAAAGAUGUGCAGAUGAAGAUGGCAAGUUUGACCUAUGAUUGGUACACCUGAUGAGGCCUACAACAGAUGGCCAAAUAUUGGCUUUCACCACAUGGACCUAAAGCUGCUCCAGAAGUUGUGCUGCGGUCACAGAAGAUGCACCAGCUGUAAUAUUUCAGAUGUGAAGUUGCCACUGCGUACUACAGAUGGCCAAAUAUUGGUUUUCACCACGUGGACCUAAAGCUGCUCCAGAAGUUGUGCUGUGGUCGCAGAAGAUGCACCGGCUGUAAUAUUUCAGAUGUGAAGUUGCCACUGCCUACUACAGAUGGACAAAUAUUGGUUUUCAACAUGUGGACCUAAAGCUGCUCCAGAAGUUGUGCUGUGGUCGCAGAAGAUGCACCGGCUGUAAUAUUUCAGAUGUGAAGUCGCCACUGCCUACUACAGAUGGCCAAAUACUGGUUUUCACCACGUGGACCCAAAGCUGCUCCAGAAGUUGUGCUGUGGUCGCAGAAGAUGCACCGGCUGUAAUAUUUCAGAUGUGAAGUCGCCACUGCCUACUACAGAUGGCCAAAUAUUGGUUUUCACCACGUGGACCCAAAGCUGCUCCAGAAGUUGUGCUGUGGUCACAGAAGAUGCACCAGCUGUAAUUUGUUUCCUGUGCUGAUCAGGAGCUGCUCCAGAAGUUGUGCUGUGGUGUUA